GAUGAACGCUGGCGGCGUGCCUAAUACAUGCAAGUCGAGCGAACGGACGAGAAGCUUGCUCCUCUGAUGUUAGCGGCGGACGGGUGAGUAACACGUGGAUAACCUACCUAUAAGACUGGGAUAACUUCGGGAAACCGGAGCUAAUACCGGAUAAUAUUUUGAACCGCAUGGUUCAAGAGUGAAAGACGGUUUUGCUGUCACUUAUAGAUGGAUCCGCGCUGCAUUAGCUAGUUGGUAAGGUAACGGCUUACCAAGGCGACGAUGCGUAGCCGACCUGAGAGGGUGAUCGGCCACACUGGAACUGAGACACGGUCCAGACUCCUACGGGAGGCAGCAGUAGGGAAUCUUCCGCAAUGGGCGAAAGCCUGACGGAGCAACGCCGCGUGAGUGAUGAAGGUCUUCGGAUCGUAAAACUCUGUUAUUAGGGAAGAACAUAUGUGUAAGUAACUGUGCACGUCUUGACGGUACCUAAUCAGAAAGCCACGGCUAACUACGUG
rnacentral:rRNA from 1 species